AGAGUUUGAUCCUGGCUCAGAACGAACGCUGGCGGCAUGCCUAACACAUGCAAGUCGAACGAUGCCUUCGGGCGAUAGUGGCGCACGGGUGCGUAACGCGUGGGAAUCUGCCCCUGGGUUCGGAAUAACAGCGAGAAAUUGCUGCUAAUACCGGAUGAUGACGAAAGUCCAAAGAUUUAUCGCCCAGGGAUGAGCCCGCGUAGGAUUAGCUAGUUGGUGAGGUAAAAGCUCACCAAGGCGACGAUCCUUAGCUGGUCUGAGAGGAUGAUCAGCCACACUGGGACUGAGACACGGCCCAGACUCCUACGGGAGGCAGCAGUGGGGAAUAUUGGACAAUGGGCGAAAGCCUGAUCCAGCAAUGCCGCGUGAGUGAUGAAGGCCUUAGGGUUGUAAAGCUCUUUUACCCGGGAUGAUAAUGACAGUACCGGGAGAAGAAGCUCCGGCUAACUCCGUG
rnacentral:rRNA from 1 species